CUGCUGCGAAGAUCCGCAAGGACAUGCUCUCCGGUGCUCCCUCAGCGGCUUCUCGCUUGACAUCUUCCGGAGUAGUGGUGGUAGUCUUCAGAAAGCAGGAAGACCUUCGAGAAUGCGUUGCUCGCUGGGACACUCUUUGUGGCCGGUGUUUUUAUCGCGAGUAUGAUGGAUGGAACGCUU
rnacentral:ribozyme from 13 species